rnacentral:rRNA from 1 species
GANNGAUGAAGGUUUUCGGAUCGUAAANNNCUGUUGUUAGGGAAGAACAAGUAUCGUUCNAAUAGGGCGGUACCUUGACGGUACCUAACCAGAAAGCCACGGCUAACUACGUGCCAGCAGCCGCGGUAAUACGUAGGUGGCAAGCGUUGUCCGGAAUUAUUGGGCGUAAAGCGCGCGCAGGCGGUUUCUUAAGUCUGAUGUGAAAUCUUGCGGCUCAACCGCAAGCGGCCAUUGGAAACUGGGAGACUUGAGUGCAGAAGAGGAGAGUGGAAUUCCACGUGUAGCGGUGAAAUGCGUAGAGAUGUGGAGGAACACCAGUGGCGAAGGCGACUCUCUGGUCUGUAACUGACGCUGAGGCGCGAAAGCGUGGGGAGCGAACAGGAUUAGAUACCCUGGUAGUCCACGCCGUAAACGAUGAGUGCUAAGUGUUAGAGGGUUUCCGCCCUUUAGUGCUGCAGCUAACGCAUUAAGCACUCCGCCUGGGGAGUACGGCCGCAAGGCUGAAACUCAAAGGAAUUGACGGGGGCCCGCACAAGCGGUGGAGCAUGUGGUUUAAUUCGAAGCAACGCGAAGAACCUUACCAGGUCUUGACAUCCUCUUGACCUCCCUAGAGAUAGGGAUUUCCCUUCGGGGACAGGAGUGACAGGUGGUGCAUGGUUGUCGUCAGCUCGUGUCGUGAGAUGUUGGGUUAAGUCCCGCAACGAGCGCAACCCUUGACCUUAGUUGCCAGCAUUCAGUUGGGCACUCUAAGGUGACUGCCGGUGACAAACCGGAGGAAGGUGGGGAUGACGUCAAAUCAUCAUGCCCCUUAUGACCUGGGCUACACACGUGCUACAAUGGAUGGUACAAAGGGCUGCAAGACCGCGAGGUUUAGCCAAUCCCAUAAAACCAUUCUCAGUUCGGAUUGUAGGCUGCAACUCGCCUACAUGAAGCCGGAAUCGCUAGUAAUCGCGGAUCAGCAUGCCGCGGUGAAUACGUUCCCGGGCCUUGUACACACCGCCCGUCACACCACGAGAGUUUGUAACACCCGAAGUCGGUGAGGUAACCUUUGGAGCCAGCCGCCGAAGGNGA